rnacentral:rRNA from 1 species
AUUGAACGCUGGCGGCAUGCCUUACACAUGCAAGUCGAACGGUAACAGGUCUUCGGAUGCUGACGAGUGGCGAACGGGUGAGUAAUACAUCGGAACGUGCCUAGUAGUGGGGGAUAACUACUCGAAAGAGUGGCUAAUACCGCAUGAGAUCUACGGAUGAAAGCAGGGGAUCGCAAGACCUUGUGCUACUAGAGCGGCCGAUGGCAGAUUAGGUAGUUGGUGGGAUAAAAGCUUACCAAGCCGACGAUCUGUAGCUGGUCUGAGAGGACGAUCAGCCGCACUUGGAAUGAGACACGGCCCAGACUCCUACGGGAGGAAGCAGUGGGGAAUUUUGGACAAUGGGCGCAAGCCUGAUCCAGCAAUGCCGCGUGCAGGAUGAAGGCCUUCGGGUUGUAAACUGCUUUUGUACGGAACGAAAAGCCCUGGGUUAAUACCCUGGGGUCAUGACGGUACCGUAAGAAUAAGCACCGGCUAACUACGUGCCAGCAGCCGCCGUAACAC